CUACGCUGCCGGCGGUGGCUGGGCCUUCCCCGGUGCCGCUGCCUCGGACUGGCCCGCGGUUCACAACACCAAGUCUGGCUACGCCGUGGCGCCAACACUGAAGCUGUGAAGUGAUGCCGCCCCAACAGAUGUGACUUGGGAGACUC
rnacentral:lncRNA from 1 species